GGGGACGACCUGGUUUCGACAGGGGGCACGAAGGGGUUUGGUGCAUGCCAAGGUCCAGUCACCUUGUAAAUCCGCUGGAAACUAAAUAAACGCCAACAAUAAGCGUUUCGCUCUCGCUGCUUAAUAGCGGGGGUCACACCGGUUUGCCUCUAGGCCGGGUCGGCUUGCCGACAGUGACUUCAUACUAAUACAGGCUGGAGGGCUGUGAGGACACUGCACAGUCAUCGAGAUUUAAAGCGUCUGGUCUUGUCAGAGCCGGUUUGAGGGCGCAAAGCAAGAUGAGAUUUUUCAAAUGUUCAAACUAAGCAUGUAGAUCCGGCACUGGACGUCUUCUGGACGCGGGUUCAAUUCCCGCCGUCUCCACCA
rnacentral:tmRNA from 1 species